rnacentral:lncRNA from 1 species
GUUUACAUAAAAAAAUAAUUAUAUCUAAUAUAAUAAAUUAAAUGUUUUAUAUGAAAUGCUCAACAUAACCUGUGCAAUUAUUAUAAGUAAAUAAAAAAUAAUAAAUGACAAAAUUACCUUUUUGUUUUCAAUCAAGCCUGCUACCAAUCAAUUCUAACAAACCUUUACUCAUUUCUAAAUUUACCCAAAAUAUAAAUGAUCAAUUUAUUUUGUUAAGUCAAGCAUACCACUUUAAUAUUACAUUAAAAUAUUUUUGAAUAAUAGCAAAAGU